rnacentral:rRNA from 1 species
CCUACGGGUUGCAGCAGUGGGGAAUAUUGCACAAUGGGCGCAAGCCUGAUGCAGCCAUGCCGCGUGUAUGAAGAAGGCCUUCGGGUUGUAAAGUACUUUCAGUGGGGAGGAAGGCGAUAAGGUUAAUAACCUUGUCGAUUGACAUUACCCGCAGAAGAAGCACCGGCUAACUCCGUGCCAGCAGCCGCGGUAAUACGGAGGGUGCAAGCGUUAAUCGGAAUUACUGGGCGUAAAGCGCACGCAGGCGGUUUGUUAAGUCAGAUGUGAAAUCCCCGGGCUCAACCUGGGAACUGCAUCUGAUACUGGCAAGCUUGAGUCUCGUAGAGGGGGGUAGAAUUCCAGGUGUAGCGGUGAAAUGCGUAGAGAUCUGGAGGAAUACCGGUGGCGAAGGCGGCCCCCUGGACGAAGACUGACGCUCAGGUGCGAAAGCGUGGGGAGCAAACAGGAUUAGAUACCCCGGUAGUC